GUGGUCUGCAUUGGCAGCACAUAUACUAACACUGGAAUGACACAGACAAGACCAGUAUGUCCCCUGCACGGGAUGCACACAAACUCCUGAAGUGUUCCGUAUUUUU
ensembl:snRNA U6 U6 spliceosomal RNA